GUCUACCAUGCAGUCGAGGGGCAGCAGCACCAUUCUUCGGAAUGGUGGCUGGCGACCGGCGGACGGGUGCGUAACACGUAGCUACUUGCCCCACAGAGUGGGAUAACCCGGGGAAACCCGGGCUAAUACCGCAUACACCCGAGAGGGGAAAGCUUUGGCGCUGUGGGAUAGGGCUGCGGCGUAUCAGCUAGUUGGUGAGGUAACGGCUUACCAAGGCGAUGACGCGUAGCAGGUCUGAGAGGAUGAUCAGCCACACUGGAACUGAGACACGGUCCAGACUCCUACGGGAGGCAGCAGUGGGGAAUCUUGGGCAAUGGGGGAAACCCUGACCCAGCAACGCCGCGUGGAGGAAGACGCCCUUCGGGGUGUAAACUCCUUUUGACAGGGAAGAGAUUGACGGUACCUGUCGAAUAAGCUCCGGCUAACUCCGUGCCAGCAGCCGCGGUAAUACGGGGGGAGCGAGCGUUACUCGGAAUCACUGGGCGUAAAGGGUGCGUAGGCGGUUUAAUAAGUUAGGAGUGAAAUCCCACAGCUCAACUGUGGAACUGCUCCUAAAACUGUUAGACUAGAGUCCGGGAGAGGCUGCGGGAAUUCCUGGUGUAGGGGUGAAAUCCGUAGAGAUCAGGAGGAAUGCCGAAAGCGAAGGCGCGCAGCUGGAACGGAACUGACGCUGAGGCACGAAAGCG
rnacentral:rRNA from 1 species